CCUACGGGAGCAGCAGUGGGGAAUUUUGGACAAUGGGCGAAAGCCUGAUCCAGCAAUGCCGCGUGCAGGAUGAAGGCCUUCGGGUUGUAAACUGCUUUUGUACGGAACGAAACGGUUCGCCUUAAUACGGUGGGCUAAUGACGGUACCGUAAGAAUAAGCACCGGCUAACUACGUGCCAGCAGCCGCGGUAAUACGUAAGGUGCGAGCGUUAAUCGGAAUUACUGGGCGUAAAGCGUGCGCAGGCGGUUAUAUAAGACAGAUGUGAAAUACCCCGGGCGUCAACCUGGGACCUGCAUUUGUGACUGUAUAGCUAGAGUACGGUAGAGGGGGAUGGAAUUCCGCGUGUAGCAGUGAAAUGCGUAGAUAUGCGGAGGAACACCGAUGGCGAAGGCAAUCCCCUGGACCUGUACUGACGCUCAUGCACGAAAGCGUGGGGAGCAAACAGGAUUAGAUACCCUGGUAGUCCACGCCCUAAACGAUGUCAACUGGUUGUUGGGUCUUCACUGACUCAGUAACGAAGCUAACGCGUGAAGUUGACCGCCUGGGGAUACGGCCGCAAGGUUGAAACUUAAUGAAUUGACGGCUGAGACGNGCGAGACGACGACGAGGAGGAGG
rnacentral:rRNA from 1 species